rnacentral:rRNA from 1 species
UACAGAGGUCCCAAGCGUUGUUCGGAUUCACUGGGCGUAAAGGGUGCGUAGGUGGUCAGGUCAGUCUGAUGUGAAACCUCCGAGCCUAACUCGGAAACUGCAUUGGAUACUACUUGGCUGGAGGGUUGGAGGGGGGGACUGGAAUUCUCGGUGUAGCAGUGAAAUGCGUAGAUAUCGAGAGGAACACCAGUGGCGAAGGCGGCCAACUGGACGAAUACUGACGCUGAGGCACGAAAGCGUGGGGAUCAAACAGG